CCAGCCAAGAGAGGUAUUGAAGGUUUUAAUGUCAGUGUCUUCAUGUUUCAUAAGAGAUGCAGUAAUGAUUUCCUCUCACUCUCCUCCUGUCACGUAUUGCUAUGCAGAGGUGUGCCUUGGGAAAACAAACAGUUGUGACUGGUGACAUAGUUAGCUAUGAAAGAAACCGGUCUCCUUCGUGGAUGAUAAAAUAACAACACAGCUGGCUCGGAUGCAUUUGGUUGCCUUGCUCAUCUUCACCGUCACCUCGGCCCAGAUAAACCAGCGGCUGAUCGAUUGAUCUCCGGGGGGGUCAGAGGAGGCUAUCUGCCUUCUUUAGCCAAUCGCUCUCUGGAGACGAGAGGAAUACACUCUCAACUUUGAUCAUCCCAUCACAGCACUUCUGCACGGUGACUCCUGCAAGAUUAGAUACCCCUUCCAUUUGCAUAAUUUAGUCAAACUAUUUGCAGAGCGAUCUUGUGGCAUAUGCUUCUAACAUACAGGCCCCCUAUCUGGCCCUGCUCCGAACCGCUCGCGUGCCUCUCUGAUGAAUGGGCUUUCAAAGCCGCGUGUUUAAAUUACCCCUCAAGAUGAGUUGUGCCGGCACGCUGGACACCGCGGAACUGAUAAAGAAGAUCGUCUGGCCCAUUACGUCAGGCCCAAAACACAAAGCCUUAAUCCCUAAUCUCAACAGUCUUUAAUCAGAGUCAGUUUCACGUCCAUGGCGCUGGUGUAUCGAUACUCAAGCUCAUGUGUGGUCAUGAAGAUCCUGUGUGACUGAGAUAGCAAAGGCCUUGAUUUCUAGGUUAUCCGAAAGCUGGAGGUUUUUAUCGUUUCUUUGAGGGAUUGAUUUAAAAUGUAUCCGCAGUUGACCAAGAAUUAGUGUCAAAGCAUUAAACGUUGACUGCCGAGGUUUUUGUCUUCAUGUAAGAGAGAUAUCUUGACUCUGCUCCAUAAAACGAUCUCGCCUGGGUCAUAUCCUGUGGUGAUUCGUUAGUUCAAGACAGACAUGCGGAGUAAAAGCGAAGAAGCAUGAAAUCCCAGGAUUCAUCACAGUGUCCGUCACUUUUUCUGUCUGUGUGUGUGAGUCGAGAGACGUUCCAUCACUGUUAGUCUAGACUGGAGUGUUUUGCAUUCUCAGCUCUAAUUCAAACCUGUGGUGUCUGCUGUUGGGAUCACAUCUGACACUCCUGCAACACGCCAGAUAACAAGAAUGUGAAAUCUUCGAUUCAGGGGUCAAAAAUGCAUCAUUUAAGACCUAAAUCUUUUGGUAAGAUCGUAAAAUCAACAAUGAGCAGUCGAAUUACAAGCCAUUGGGAUUCACUGAUGAAGAAAAGCAAACAUUUAUUUCUCAUUGCAUCUGUCAGAUAAGGGCAAAGUUCCAUAAUUUGUGGGUUAAUAAGGAAACUAACAGAAAGGUUGCUCUGUGGCAUUCUUUACAUGUGUAACCACAUAAAUGGGGCACUUCUGGCUCAAGUGCGAGCCGUGCCUAUGCACAGUAAACCUAUGAACCUGCUAUCAGCUGCACAUUCCUGUCAGUAGUAACGGAGAGAUGAGUACAAUCACUAUGGCUGCACAAGAAUGAAAAACAAGCUUGUUCAGCUAUGUAGAAAUUCACUUUUGAAGGUCAAACAUUUUUUUCUUUCUUCCUUUUCUUUCUGUCGUUUUUUUUUUUAAUUAGACAGAGAAGAAAAAUGUCUCUGAAUGUUUUGAAGAAGUGCUAUUAGAGGGUCCCUAGUGGUCUCGCCUGAAGAAAUUCUGUGAAAAUCAUUUCAAGCCUCUUCCUGGGACUAAUAGAAGAACUUCCAAGCAGUCUGUAGGGACCAUUCAUAGACGUCAUUUUCACUUUUGUUUGUGAAAUGUUAUAUACAACUGUUUAUUUGAACCUUUUUUUUUUAGCUACUGCAACUCUUACUGAGUGAGAGUUUAGGACCAGCUGAUUUGUUUUAAAAGUUUAGUAUUCUACUACACCUAAAAAGAAAACUAAACCAAACCAAACAAAAACAAUCUGGCACGGUUUACAUGUAUGCCUAACACUAGUUUCCUGUCGCAGAAGUGCACAGACUGCUUGGAUUUUGCCAAAAAAAUGUAUAUGUUCACAUGCCGUACCAUUCAAAAGUUGUUUUUAUGUUUUA